rnacentral:rRNA from 1 species
UACGUAGGGUGCGAGCGUUAAUCGGAAUUACUGGGCGUAAAGCGUGCGCAGGCGGUUUUGUAAGCCAGGUGUGAAAUCCCCGGGCUCAACCUGGGAAUGGCAUUUGGGACUGCAAGGCUGGAGUGCGGCAGAGGAGACUGGAAUUCCUGGUGUAGCGGUGAAAUGCGUAGAUAUCAGGAGGAACACCUGUGGUGUAGACAGCUUACUGGACCAUUUCUGACGCUGAGACACGAAAGCGUGGGUAGCAAACAGG